UGGUUCUGGCAUCGAUGAAGAACGCAGCGAAAUGCGAUAAGUAAUGUGAAUUGCAGAAUUCAGUGAAUCAUCGAAUCUUUGAACGCACAUUGCACUCCUCGGUUUACCGGGGAGUAUGCCUGUCCGAGCGUCAUUACACCUCUCAAGCUCUGCUUGGUCAUGGGCCUCGCUCCUUGGGCGUGCCUGAAAUGUAGUGAGCGGUCCCGUCGGUCCUCGAACGUAGUAACAUCUCCCGUUCUGCAGGCCCCGGCGGCGGCUGGCCACAACCCCUAUUUUCUACGAUUGACCUCGGAUCAGGUAGGAAUACCCGCUGA
rnacentral:misc_RNA from 1 species